UGGGGAAUCUUGGACAAUGGGCGCAAGCCUGAUCCAGCCAUGCCGCGUGAGUGAAGAAGGCCUUAGGGUUGUAAAACUCUUUCGCCGGAGAAGAUAAUGACGGUAUCCGGAGAAGAAGCCCCGGCUAACUUCGUGCCAGCAGCCGCGGUAAUACGAAGGGGGCUAGCGUUGUUCGGAAUUACUGGGCGUAAAGCGUACGCAGGCGGCUUUGCAAGACAGGUGUGAAAUCCCCGGGCCUAACCUGGGAACUGCAUUUGUGACUGCAUGGCUAGAGUCUGUCAGAGGGGGGUGGAAUUCCACGUGUAGCAGUGAAACGCGUAGAGAUGUGGAAGAACACCGAUGGCGAAGGCAGCCCCCUGGGAUAAGACUGACGCUCAUGUACGAAAGCGUGGGGAGCAAACAGGAUUAGAUACCCUGGUAGUCCACGCCCUAAACGAUGUCUACUAGUUGUCGGAGGGUAACUCCUUCGGUAACGCAGCUAACGCGUGAAGUAGACCGCCU
rnacentral:rRNA from 1 species